rnacentral:rRNA from 1 species
GAUGAACGCUGGCUACAGGCUUAACACAUGCAAGUCGAGGGGAAACGCCGGGGAAGCUUGCUUCCCCGGGCGUCGACCGGCGCACGGGCGAGUAACGCGUAUCCAACCUGCCUCUGACUGAGGGAUAACCCGUCGAAAGUCGGCCUAAUACCUCAUGGCAUCGUCUGCGGGCAUCCAACGACGAUUAAAGAUUUCAUCGGUCAGGGAUGGGGAUGCGUCUGAUUAGCUUGUUGGCGGGGUAACGGCCCACCAAGGCUACGAUCAGUAGGGGUUCUGAGAGGAAGGGCCCCCACAUUGGAACUGAGACACGGUCCAAACUCCUACGGGAGGCAGCAGUGAGGAAUAUUGGUGAAUGGGCGGGAGCCUGAACCAGCCAAGUAGCGUGCAGGAUGACGGCCCUAUGGGUUGUAAACUGCUUUUAUGCGGGGAUAAAGUGAGGGACGUGUCCUUCAUUGCAGGUACCGCAUGAAUAAGGACCGGCUAAUUCCGUG